rnacentral:rRNA from 1 species
AACUGCGAGUGAAGCGGGAAAAGCUCAAAUUUAAAAUCUGACGGUCCUUGGCUGUCCGAGUUGUAAUUUAGAGAAGCGUCUUCCGCGCUGGACCGUGCACAAGUCUCCUGGAAUGGAGCGUCGUAGAGGGUGAGAAUCCCGUCUUUGGCAUGGACACCCGGUGCUUCUGUGAUGCGCUCUCGAAGAGUCGAGUUGUUUGGGAAUGCAGCUCAAAAUGGGUGGUGAACUCCAUCUAAAGCUAAAUAUUGGCGAGAGACCGAUAGCGAACAAGUACCGUGAGGGAAAGAUGAAAAGCACUUUGGAAAGAGAGUGAAACAGUACGUGAAAUUGUUGAAAGGGAAACGCUUGAAGUCAGUCGCGUUGACCGAGACUCAGCCUUGCCUCGGCUUGGUGUACUUCUCGGCUUGACGGGUCAGCGUCGAUUUUGCCCCUCGGAUAAUGGCAAGGGAAAGGUGGCACCUUUGCGGGUGUGUUAUAGUCUCCUGUCGCAUGUGAGGGGUGAGAUCGAGGAACUCAGUGCGCGCCUCUGGCGUCGGGGCCUUUUG